UACGUAGGGGGCAAGCGUUGUCCGGAUUUAUUGGGCGUAAAGCGCACGUAGGCGGAUUGUUAAGUCAGAGGUGAAAUCCUGGAGCUCAACUCCAGAACUGCCUUUGAUACUGGCGAUCUUGAGUCCGGGAGAGGUGAGUGGAACUGCGAGUGUAGAGGUGAAAUUCGUAGAUAUUCGCAAGAACACCAGUGGCGAAGGCGGCUCACUGGCCCGGUACUGACGCUGAGGUGCGAAAGCGUGGGGAGCAAACAGG
rnacentral:rRNA from 1 species